CCUACGGGAGGCAGCAGUAGGGAAUCUUGCUCAAUGGGGGAAACCCUGAAGCAGCAACGCCGCGUGGGGGAUGAAGGUUUUCGGAUUGUAAACCCCUUUUGUUAGAGAAGAUAAUGACGGUAUCUAACGAAUAAGCACCGGCCAACUACGUGCCAGCAGCCGCGGUAAUACGGCGGGUGCAAGCGGUAUGCGGAAUCACUGGGCGUAAAGAGCGCGUAGGCGGGUUAGCAAGUCAGAUGUGAAAUCCUAUGGCUUAACCAUAGAUCUGCAUUUGAAACUGUUAUUCUAGAGUAUGGGAGAGGAAGGUGGAAUUCUUGGUGUAGGGGUAAAAUCCGUAGAGAUCAAGAGGAAUACUCAUGGCGAAGGCGACCUGCUAGAACAUAACUGACGCUGAGGCGCGAAAGCGUGGGGAGCAAACAGGAUUAGAUACCCUUGUAGUC
rnacentral:rRNA from 1 species